rnacentral:rRNA from 1 species
AUUGAACGCUGGCGGCAUGCUUUACACAUGCAAGUCGAACGACAGCGCGGGCUUCGGCCUGGCGGCGAGUGGCGAACGGGUGAGUAAUGCAUCGGAACGUGCCCAGUAGUGGGGGAUAGCCCGGCGAAAGCCGGAUUAAUACCGCAUACGACCUGAGGGUGAAAGCGGGGGACCGAAAGGCCUCGCGCUAUUGGAGCGGCCGAUGUCGGAUUAGCUAGUUGGUGGGGUAAAGGCUUACCAAGGCGACGAUCCGUAGCUGGUCUGAGAGGACGACCAGCCACACUGGGACUGAGACACGGCCCAGACUCCUACGGGAGGCAGCAGUGGGGAAUUUUGGACAAUGGGGGCAACCCUGAUCCAGCCAUGCCGCGUGCGGGAAGAAGGCCUUCGGGUUGUAAACCGCUUUUGUUCGGGAAGAAAUCCUCUGGGCUAAUACCCCGGGGGGAUGACGGUACCGGAAGAAUAAGCACCGGCUAACUACGU